AUGCACAUGGAGGAGGUGAUUGAGAGUAAAGUGAUGGAGGACCGUUCUGCUGAAGGUGAAGAUGGUUUGGUGACGGUCUCAGGUCUGUACACACAAAACCCUUUACAGCGCAGCGUCAGUCAGCUCAUCGUCAAGAAAGACGAGGAAUCAUGGGAGCCGCACUUCAGACGCCUUGACAGCGGCCUGGUGAGAACAUCACUUACUGCUGCUGGACAAAAUUUUUUUUUUUUUUUUUGCUGAAAUAUAAUUUUGAUGAUGUGUUGUAUGUUUGUCAGUUCGAAGGUGAGGAGUUUGUGGACACCAUCAAAGGCUUCAGCACAGUCAGGAAGGAACACACCAUGUUCACCGACACCAACCUUUGAACUUCAUCAUGACCUUUGACCUUCAUCAUCAAACAUCAUCUCAGAACUGAGCGGAAAAUGAACUGAACUGUUUUGGUGAAUUCAGAACUGCUCUGGGACUUUAUGGACCCGUGACACCAACAGGAGGAAACUAGAUUAUACAGCAGACAAAAAAAAAAGUUCACAUUAAUGUGAAACCAUUGAAUUGAAAACAAUAUUUCUAGCAAAUAAGCAUUGUUUAAAGUUGGCUUAGAAAUUUGCAAAUUCUUUGCUGAAACGCACCACUUUUGCUUUUUUAUUUGAAGAAAACAGUGUUGUACUGUUAUGACAAAUGUAAUAUUUAAGCAUUAAGCACAAGAGGCCGAUGUUCCCUCUAAGCUGUGCUUCUUACAUCAUAACCAUGCAGAAGAAAUAAUAUGCUGUGCACAGGACAGAUGUAAAAAUGAGCUGGGAAAUCCAUUUGAUUUAAUUUAGGGAACGUGAAAUAAUUGCAAUGCUUGGGCAAACUGCUAUAGAGUUGAUGUGGCUAUAGAACCGGUGAAUGCGGUUUACAGGUUUCAUAGAAAGAGAAUAAUGUGCACCAAAUCAGUCACUGUAGAGAUUGAAUACUUUAAUGUUUGUGGGCGAAAUAACAUGAGAGCCAACGUAAAUGCAAUAACGUGAAAUAGAAAUUUCAUUAUGUUUUAAAGAAGAGUUGCUUAAUUAAGUGGUGGAAAUGAUGGGCACACAAAACUGUAACAAAACAUUUACAGUCACACACAGGUGUAGCAGUGUGCAAACUCUGCUACAUGGGGAUGCUUAGUUAACUGUAAAAGAAUUAAGAAAAUAUUUGUUUUAUUAUAUUACAUUUUAUUACAUUAUAUGCGCUGUACAGGUCUUCCCCAAAAAAAAGAAAAAAAAAAAUUAAGAGGGAACAUUACAAGAGGCUACGUCAUAAUAAAGAUAUUAAAUAUACAACUUUUCA
ensembl:lncRNA